AAGCAGAACCUCUCCUGUACUUAGAGAGACUCAAACAAGACAGAAGGUGAGCAGGCUAGAACAGCAGGACGUGCUGUCAACUUGGAGCAGGGUGGCUUACCGGAACAUCUAACAAACUAAGGCUGUUGGUCAAAAUCAUUGGUCGCAGCAUUGGAUCAAGCAAAUUCCUGAGAUUGGCAUGCCUGGUAACAAGUGGCUGGCAAACAUGGGAUAGUGUACCUGGUCCCCGUCUAACAGUGGAAUAAUCCUGAUAUUCCGUUCCUAGACAGGGCAAGAAGCUGAACAUGUGGGUAUAGACUAAGAGAAAAAGAGAGAAAUUGCAGCUCCAGCAUUUGGAAAAGAAGCUGUCAGAAGAGGAAUGGAAUGUUAACAAGCCAGAUCCAGC